rnacentral:rRNA from 1 species
AGAGUUUGAUCCUGGCUCAGGACGAACGCUGGCGGCGUGCCUAAUACAUGCAAGUCGAGCGGACGAAUCGAAAGCUUGCUUUUGAUUCGUUAGCGGCGGACGGGUGAGUAACACGUGGGCAACCUGCCCUGUAGACGGGGAUAACACCGAGAAAUCGGUGCUAAUACCGGAUAACACGAAAUGUCGCAUGACGUUUCGUUGAAAGACGGCGCAAGCUGUCGCUACAGGAUGGGCCCGCGGCGCAUUAGCUAGUUGGUGAGGUAACGGCUCACCAAGGCGACGAUGCGUAGCCGACCUGAGAGGGUGAUCGGCCACACUGGGACUGAGACACGGCCCAGACUCCUACGGGAGGCAGCAGUAGGGAAUCUUCCGCAAUGGACGAAAGUCUGACGGAGCAACGCCGCGUGAGCGAAGAAGGCCUUCGGGUCGUAAAGCUCUGUUGUUAGGGAAGAACAAGUAACGCAGUAACUGGCGUUACCGUGACGGUACCUAACGAGAAAGCCACGGCUAACUACGUGCCAGCAGCCGCGGUAAUACGUAGGUGGCAAGCGUUGUCCGGAAUUAUUGGGCGUAAAGCGCGCGCAGGCGGUUCCUUAAGUCUGAUGUGAAAGCCCACGGCUCAACCGUGGAGGGUCAUUGGAAACUGGGGGACUUGAGUGCAGAAGAGGAGAGCGGAA